rnacentral:rRNA from 1 species
GCGCCUCGAUGUCGGCUCAUCGCAUCCUGGGGCUGUAGUCGGUCCCAAGGGUUGGGCUGGUCGCCCAUUAAAGCGGUACGCGAGCUGGGUUCAGAACGUGGUGAGACAGUUCGGUCCCUAUCCGUCGUGGGCGUAGGAAAUUUGAGAGGAGCUGUCCUUAGUACGAGAGGACCGGGAUGGACAUACCUCUGGUGUACCAGUUGUCGUGCCAACGGCAUAGCUGGGUAGCUAUGUGUGGACGGGAUAAGUGCUGAAAGCAUCUAAGCAUGAAGCCCCCCUCAAGAUGAGAUUUCCCAACUUCGGUUAUAAGAUCCCUCAAAGAUGAUGAGGUUAAUAGGUUCGAGGUGGAAGCAUGGUGACAUGUGGAGCUCACGUACACUAAUCGAUAGAAGACUUAAUCAAU